UGUGCUGGAAGUCUGUAGCUGGGUGAGGAUUAUUUGCUUAUAUCAUAACAGACAGAACAAAAUUAUAGAUCUAAAUAAUUGAGAGCACUGAUUGUGAAUAUGAACAAGACCAGAUGCACUGAAUUUUGCAUGUAGCAGGCUGGGAAGCCAGUGAGAGCCUUUGGAAGGUGUUGUGAGGAUGAUUCCCACUCACCAUCUUCACCUGGUUCACCCAGCAGCCACUUCCUCGGAUUCCUGGCUCAGCCUCAACAUCCAAGUUCAAGAAACCUCUGGGGCUGAAGCUGCACCCUUGAGGACCACACCACCCAUGGAAGGCCUGCUGAAGCACUUGUGAAAACAGAUGGUGUCAAUUGUUCCUGUAAGACAAAAGACUAAAAGAAGAUGUCUGUCUGAGUUAGAUUACAUUCCAGAGAUCUGACCCUGCCACAGGGCUGGCAGAAUGACCGUGAUCCAAAAUCACAUUGUGCUUCAGUAACAGGAUUCUCCAAGAGAUACCUUUUGAAAUGGAGCCUUGUGUUGGACCAGAUGGUGGCCCUGGAUUUCCAUUGUUCCUCUUGGCUCUCUAGUGUUAUGCAGAUUUCUAUACUGCUUUAUAUUUUCUCACAGCAUUGCCUAGUAUUUACAUUCAGUUAACUCUGAUGGAGAAAAUGAAAAAGCCAAGCAUAAAGAAGCUACACAACA